GAUGAACGCUGGCGGCGUGCCUAAUACAUGCAAGUCGAGCGAACAGACGAGGAGCUUGCUCCUUUGACGUUAGCGGCGGACGGGUGAGUAACACGUGGAUAACCUACCUAUAUGACUGGGAUAACUUCGGGAAACCGGAGCUAAUACCGGAUAAUAUAUUGAACCGCAUGGUUCAAUAGUGAAAGACGGUUUUGCUGUCACUUAUAGAUGGAUCCGCGCCGCAUUAGCUAGUUGGUAAGGUAACGGCUUACCAAGGCGACGAUGCGUAGCCGACCUGAGAGGGUGAUCGGCCACACUGGAACUGAGACACGGUCCAGACUCCUACGGGAGGCAGCAGUAGGGAAUCUUCGGCAAUGGGCGAAAGCCUGACGGAGCAACGCCGCGUGAGUGAUGAAGGUCUUCGGAUCGUAAAACUCUGUUAUUAGGGAAGAACAGAUGUGUAAGUAACUAUGCACGUCUUGACGGUACCUAAUCAGAAAGCCACGGCUAACUACGUG
rnacentral:rRNA from 1 species